UACGAGGGGGGCAAAUGUUGUUCGGAAUCACUGGGCGUAAAGGGAGCGUAGGCGGGUUUUUAAGUCAGGUGUUUAAUCCCGGGGCCCAACCCCGGACAGGCACUUGAAACUGGGAAUCUUGAAUAGUGGAGAGGUCAGUGGAAUUGGGGGUGUAGCGGUGGAAUGCGUAGAGAUCGGCAGGAACACCCAGGGGGAAACCAGCCGACUGGGCAUCUACUGACGCUGAGGUGCGAGAGCGUGGGGAGCGAACCGG
rnacentral:rRNA from 1 species